CAUACAUGUUAUAAAGCUUUGUUUGAUUUUCUCCCGUUAUUCUGUCUCAUGUCAAUUUAAUUCAUAGCCCAGCCGGAAGGACCCAGAGGGUAGAGGAUUUGUCUUCCUCCCCCACAAUUUGGCGACUUGGACAGGAUAAAACUUCACUGGCUGGAUGCUGCUUGCUCCUGGAUACUGCAGCCAAAAGAUCCUGGACCCCUGACAAGAGCCGGCAUGUGCUUGAGGAAGAUUAGCCUUGAGCUAACAUCUGUGCCAAUCUUCCUCUACUUUCUAUAUGUGGGUCACCACCACCGUAUGGCUGACAAGCGAUGUAGGUCCACGCCCAGGAUCCAAACCCAAGAAUCCAGGCUGCUGAAGUGGAGCUUGUUGAACUUAAUCAGUAUGCCAGGGGGCUGGCCCCAGAACAUACAAAUCUUUUGACUUACCUCUUGCGUUAGAAAUUUCCCUGAUAUAAAGAAACAAUUGGAAGGGUGUAGCUGGAGGGGUGGGUCAGCUCUUGUCAUUUAGACUGUAAUCCAGAUCUUUGGGGAACUGGAAGCAACCAUCUUUGUCUUGCAAAUCUGUGCAAGGCUGGAGGUAUGACUCUAGAAAGCAGUUCAAAGUUCACCUGUCUUUUGCCAAUCCCAAAACCUCCCCUGUUCCUCUCAAAAUUCUCCUAGACAUUGAUUGAAACAAAAGAUUGAGACAUUAGAAACUGACAAGGCAAAUAUGCCCAGAAACUCCAUCUUGAAGAAAACUGGACUGCUUUCUCUGUGUGUUUGUGAUGUAGAUUUUCUGCUCCCAUCUUCUCUAGGACCCGAGAGCCAUUCUUUGAACUGCAAAUGUUUCUCAUAAACUAAGAGAGAUUCAUGGAAAGGACUCUGACACCUAUUCUAAAAUACAAGUUUCUGACAAACUCUCAGAUUAUAAAACUGAACGGGGUGAGAAAUUACAGAACUCUAACAGAGAAACUGAUGACUUCAUGAAACUGGUCACAAAGAUCAAGAGUUGAUUAUAUGAGACUGAAUGAACUGAUGGAGAUGAUUAUGAAUUUUAUGACUUCAUUUGAAAUAUUCCUGAUUUUUUAAAUGUUUUGGUUUUUUUCAGUUUUAAGGAAACCUUUUUCUCUUUUCCCUUAAGGUAACUAUGACUUAUAGAAAUUUGGUAAAUUAUACUUUUGUAAACAGAAUUGAAACAUUUAUCUUUUUCUCCCUACCUGAUCCCUCCAGAAUUUGGAAACUCUUAGUGAGUGAGUAUUGUUAUUUUUACAGCAAUAUAGUUAUUUGCACAAGUUCAAUAAGAAUCUGUUCUUCUUAUAACAGGGCACGAUUGGAAACAUAUAGUACCAAAGCUUUGACUGGAAUGUCAUAUUUGAGAGAAACAAAUAUAGACUCAGAUAUGACCAGAUAGCUUUUGAGAAACAAAGAUUGGACUUUAUGAAAUAAAGCCAGUUGGAAAUGUUGGCCUGGUACCAUACUGGGUGAGUAAAGAAGGUCACUUAUCUGGCAGGUUGAAGGAACCUCAAUAUUUUGGGGAACCUCAAAAGAAGAGAGGAAUUCACCCAAAUCUGUAGGUAUUAUAAGCAAGUCUGAUGACAAAGUCCUUGGCUUGGUUUUCCUGGCUUCAAGAGGCAUUUAAAGUUCAAUCUGAGAUUCCUUAUAAAAAGUUCCAGCAAAGCAGUUUUAAAAAAGCUUAUAUGAUCAAUUGCUAUUCUUGCUGUACUUAUGUAAAUAAUUGGGCCAAAUUUAUUGAAACUAGACUUUACAAAUGAAUUAGUCUUAAUUUGGCUCUCUUUGGUAAAAAUGAGGGUGAAUUUAGAGAGAAAAAUUAUGUUUCUGUAAAAAUUAUAAUACACAUUUGUGGAUAUUAGAUUCUAGUUCUGUUAAUUGUCUUUGAGGCUUUUGUUUUCUACCUGUAAACUGGAGAGGAUCCUGAAUUUUUCUAGUCUCCUGAAAUAUCUGGCUAAAAAUCUCAAAACUAACAUUUUCAAUUUUUUCCAUCAAUUUUAUUUCAAAUCAGUGAGAACUGAAACCACCCUUGUUCCCAAAGACUUGCAAACUGAAGCUGGAUAACUUGGUAUAAACUUUGUAAAGAUCACCAUGAUAACAUGCCUAUUGCUGUAUAAGACACUCAAAAGGCUACCUGAACACCUGAUGACAUCAUCAGAGACAUUUCAAGCUGCAAAAGAUGCUUCAACCCUGACAUCUAGAAAUCUUCUUCGUUGGCUGUCCCCUGGGCUCAGAAACUGGUUUAUAAUUUGCUCCAAUCAUUAACCUUGUUUUUCUUUUUGUUUCUAUAGAAAUGCUUCUUAUUAAAUACUGAUUGCUUGCUUCCGCAACAUGAGCCUAACUUUGGGAGCCCACAUGCAUCACCACUUUCUAAAAUGAAUUUAACUGGAUUGAUCUAUUUUCAGGACUAAAAACUUGUUCAGUGAAACAAGUGAAACAGUGAAACAGAUGAAACAAUCUACCAACUCAGCUUCUGGACUAUGAAACUUCUUAUAUGUUAAAGGACUUUGAAACUUCUUAAAGUUUCAAAGACAGGACUGUGGGGGAUCAGAACUGGCCAUCCCAAAAUGUGUCUUUUUGGAAUAGGGAUUAUUUUGGCUGGUUACUUCUAAAAACUGCAGACAUAGGAAAAGCUCUGAAAACCAAGUAAAAGUAGAAGUUAUCCUUUGUAAGGGAAAUCUCCAUUGUAAAGUUAUCUCCCUCUCUGUACUAGGAAGAAGGGGGGAUGACUUUAUCUCUAGAAACUCUUAUGAAUGUGGAAGGGUGUCUGGAAGUGAAAUUACUUGGCCAAAGAAUAUGAACAGAUUGUUUUCCAGAAGGGUAAUACCCUUUUAUGCUCCCCCAGCCAUGUCUGUCUCACUUAAUGUUUAAUUUUUUUGCAGUUGUCCGAUGAAAAUGGUAUGUUGUUCUAAAUUUACAUAACUUUGAUUAUUGGCAAAGAUAUAUAUCUUUUGAAUAUUUAUAGAACUUUGCUUUUUUUUUUUAACUUUCCAUUAUCUGCUCAUCUACUAGAGUGGACAUUUGUAUUGUUUUUUCUACUUAGCAACUAUUCACGUUACUUGUGAAAACAGCCAGCAGCUAUCUGUCCUUCUAUCACCCUUUCCUCCUCUUGGAUACAUUGUAGCUUCUCAAGAGAAGAAUCUGUCUGAAACUGGAACCAACCAAGAGAAAUAUGAAUUGGGGGAUGGCUGGCAAGAGAGAAACCAGGUGAUGGAUGGUCUUUGUGCCUUUUCCCUGGAUGUUUUCAGGUAAGCAAAUCACUGGCCUCAGAGACGGUCCUCACUGGUACAUUCUUUUGCCCAUUUUUUAAUCACAGUGUUAUUAUUUGUUUCAAUACCAAAAUAUUAAAAGUAUAGGUGAUUUUUAAAAACUUUUUAUUUUGGAAUUAUUUUAAACUCACAGAAAGUUGCAAAAAUUCUUUGGGGAGUUUGGAGAGAGCUUCCCCCAAUAAUAACACCUUCCUUAACCAUUGUACAUUAUUAAAACCAAGAAAUUGACAUUGGUACACUACUCUGAACUAAACUACAGAGCUUAUUCAGAUUUCAUCAGUUUUUAUAUGCAUCUGAGUACUUUUAAAAAUAUACAUUUCUUUGUAUACAAUUUGUGCAACGUGCACAGAUCAUUUUUCUAACUAGAAAAUAAACAUUAUACAUAUUUCAAAAUAUAUCAAGCACUAGGUUUUUAGGCAGUGUCAAUGGACUCAAGGCAUUUCUUUCACUUUUACUGUAGAAAAUGUUGCAGACAGCAUAUGCCGCAGGCAUUUUAGCUGUGGACUGUGUAUUUAGGUUAGUUAUUACGUCUUUCUCAUUAUGUGAGGCAGGUUAAAAUGCAACUUUUCCCAAUGUUCUUGUGUACCACAAAGGAAUUUGUUUCCACCACUCAACCAUCACCAGUGGUUGGAAUCGGUUAGCUUAAUGGGUUUCUGAAAGCCAUUUCCCUGCAGCUGUGUUUACCUUUCACUCCAAACACUCACUGGUACUUCCUAAGCAAAAAUAUGAUAAAAAAUACUUUUCUCUUCUGCAUUUAAGUAUAAAAAAGCCCUUUUUUAAAUGUUUCAUUUUGUUUUUUCUGAUCUUAGCCUAUAGGAGAUAAAGAAUAAUAACAACAAACGAAACAAAACUAAGAAAGAAAAAUUACAGAAAAACACGUACACCAAAAGCAACCCCUAUCCAGAAUUUUGAUGUUGCUCAUUAAAUGAAAAAAAUAGGUUUUAUUUGGGAGUGACACAUAAGGGAACGAAUAUUUAUUGAGAACUGCUAUGCGCUAGAUGCUAUACUGGGUGCUCUGAGUGGCCCCAUAUAAUCUUGGCAGUGUAGUCAACAGUGUACUGAUGCUAUUGACCUUGAAACAAUUGUCUAAUCGUAUUUAAUGAAGAAGGGUGCCAAUAAUGAGGCAACAGAAUCACUGUAAAGCCAGAGGCAGAAGAAAACAUCAGACAAUUUCUGGCUAAUUAAGUGAUACCAUACCUGUCAGAUCGUCUCAUUUUAA